GUAGGUGGCAAGCGUUGUCCGGAAUUAUUGGGCGUAAAGCGCGCGCAGGCGGUUCUUUAAGUCUGAUGUGAAAGCCCACGGCUCAACCGUGGAGGGUCAUUGGAAACUGGAGAACUUGAGUACAGAAGAGGAAAGCGGAAUUCCACGUGUAGCGGUGAAAUGCGUAGAGAUGUGGAGGAACACCAGUGGCGAAGGCGGCUUUCUGGUCUGUAACUGACGCUGAGGCGCGAAAGCGUGGGGAGCGAAACAGGGAUUAGAUACCCUGGUAGUCCACGCCGUAAACGAUGAGUGCUAAGUGUUAGGGGGUUUCCGCCCCCUUAGUGCUGCAGCUAACGCAUUAAGCACUCCGCCUGGGGAUACGGCCGCAAGGCUG
rnacentral:rRNA from 1 species